GACGUAGGGCGCGAGCGUUGUCCGGAUUUAUUGGGCGUAAAGAGCUCGUAGGCGGCUUGUCGCGUCGUCCGUGAAAACCUGCGGCUCAACUGCAGGCUGGCGGUCGAUACGGGCAGACUAGAGUGCGGUAGGGGAGACUGGAAUUCCUGGUGUAGCGGUGGAAUGCGCAGAUAUCAGGAGGAACACCGAUGGCGAAGGCAGGUCUCUGGGCCGCAACUGACGCUGAGGAGCGAAAGCAUGGGGGAGCGAACAGG
rnacentral:rRNA from 1 species